GAUAGCGGUACCCUAAGUCGUCUUAGCUUUAGGGGUUUAGUGAUGGAAAGAACAAUGUUGUAAUAAUUAUGUUGGAAACUUGAUUGUAUUUGGAAGUAAAAAUCAAAGAAUCAAAAAGGAAUGGCAAUAUGUGAUGUAAUAAGUAAUAUGUUAGUUGAAUGCAUGUAAUAAAUUAGUUGUUUAUGUUUUCGAUGCCUUCCUUAUGCAAUCUUUGUUUGUAUGCUGUUCCUGGUUGGAACCUCGCGCAUUG
rnacentral:lncRNA from 1 species